rnacentral:rRNA from 1 species
UACGUAGGGGGCAAGCGUUGUCCGGAAUCAUUGGGCGUAAAGAGCGCGUAGGCGGCCCUGUAAGUCCGCUGUGAAAGUCAAGGGCUCAACCCUUGGAUGCCGGUGGAUACUGCAGGGCUAGAGUCCGGAAGAGGCGAGUGGAAUUCCUGGUGUAGCGGUGAAAUGCGCAGAUAUCAGGAGGAACACCAAUUGCGAAGGCAGCUCGCUGGAACGUAACUGACGCUGAGACGCGAAAGCGUGGGGAGCAAACAGG